rnacentral:rRNA from 1 species
UACGGAGGGAGCUAGCGUUGUUCGGAAUUACUGGGCGUAAAGGGCGCGUAGGCGGCCUGCUAAGUCGAACGUGAAAUCCCUGGGCUCAACCCAGGAACUGCGUCCGAUACUGGUUUGGCUUGAAUCCGGGAGAGGGAUGUGGAAUUCCAGGUGUAGCGGUGAAAAGUGCGUAGAUAUCUGGAGGAACACCGGUGGCGAAGGCGGGGUCUCUGGGCAGUAAC